UUGAAGAAGUGACGAAGCACCCCAUUCUUGCAAUUUGUCAAAGAAGGCUAGGUGAAGCAUUUCGUGCUUGGGGCUUGGUGAGAAAGAGUCUUGAGGCGACCGUACUUCAUCCUUGACGAGCUAGCACGUGGCACAUUUCAUCCCUGUGGAUUGGCGCGGAAGAGGCAUAUGAAGUCUCUUUUUAACCUUGGAGACAAAAUCCCUACUCUUGGAGGUGUGGAGAGAUAAUAUUUCAUCAUUGGCGAGCCAACAUGUACCACAUUGCAUCAUUGCAGGUUGACGAGGAAGACAACUAGAGUAGGCCUUUCUAACUUUGAUGAACAAACGCUUAGCGCGUCUCUGAAAAAAUAUUUAUUUCUCAAUGCAGGAGCGAUGAAAUCACAAGAUGCUUCUUCCUAAAGAAUCGUAACUCAAUGGGCUGUAAUACAUAAAACAUUCAGUACCAAAUUCCUUGAGAAUUAGCCGCAAUAUUUUUUUGAAACCGAUAAAUGUGCCCAGCAUUUUAACUUUACAGCAUUAUACAGUCUCGCCAAAAGAUUGAUAUCUCGAGCUAGGAGUGUCCGAAUCGCAAUCCGUUUGUGCCAUUGGAAAGAAAACUCUGACACCUAUCAUACCUGAAAAUUACAUGGUAGGAUUCCUGUCAUAAUGGCUGAAAUAAUAUUCUGAAGUUACUCCUAAUGUCUGUCGUGCUUGCAAUCCAGCUUUGCGCACUCCUGUCGAAAAAUUCAUAUCUCGAGCUAGGAGACUCCAAAUUGCAAUCCGUUUGCGCUGUUAGAAUAUAAAUCAUAGAUCUGAAAACAUACGAAUUUAAUGGCAGAAAUUCUUUCUAGAUGGAAAUAGAAAAUUCUCAAAAUCCACCUAGCUGCAGUAACUUUCAGAUUCGUAUAGUUCUGGCGAAAGAAAUAAUAUCUUGAGCUAGGAGACUCCAAAUUACAAUCUGUUUGCUCUGUUAAAAUUAAACCCAUAGAGAUGCAACAAAUAUGAAUUUCAUCACCGAAUUCUUUUAGAGUUGGAAACAGAAAAUUUUCAAAGUAUGACCUACCUGUAGUAAACUUUUAGAUUCGCGCAGUUCCGACAACAAAAAUCGUAUCUUGAGCUAGGAGCCUACGAAUCGCAAGCGGAUUGUGUUUUUGGAGAUUAGGAAUCCAAAUCUAAAACAUAUAAAAAUUUUGGGGCAGAACUUCUUCCGGAUGGACCGCAGUAGUUUUCCAAAUCUGAUCCCGUCGUCCGUUGAGCUCGCUUCCCUUCUCUAUACUCUCUGAGUUGCCCUAUGAAUGUUAUUGUUUUCUUGAAAUUGACUCUACAGUCUUGCAUAUAGAAACUUUAGCUAUUAUUCUUCAUAAAUCUUAUCUCUUUAUUUAUUUCUUUUGCAGACUUGCAAAGAAGCUCAAAGAGUCUGGAUAUCAGACCGAGGUGUCAUACAAGAUGUAGAGUCACCCCUCCAUCAACUAUUGCACUUGAUUUGUUGAAAGUCCUGAAGUUCAUCAAUGGUGGCUCCCAUGGUGAUUGGGACCUUCAACAAACAAUUGAGGAUGGCAUCAAAUGUGGAGAUGUCAUACAGACUUGGAAAAGCAUUUAGACGCGUCAGCAACAAAGCCUAGUUUACGAUCAUCUUCAUAAUUUAGGCUUUUGUAUAGAAAAAUGUCUAGUUCCUGUUGUCUCUACAUUUUUAGAUGUAUCAACUUUUGUACUAUUAAAGCAAUAAAAUAUCUUUAGUU
rnacentral:lncRNA from 1 species